rfam:Vitis vinifera, whole genome shotgun sequence of line PN40024, unoriented chromosome 16, chr16
AGAGGCCACAAUGAGGAUACCAAGCUCCCUCUUCUUAAACCAAGUUGAGGAAAAUUGCUGGCAGAAUCGAACCAUAAACAAAAUUGCCACCACUGAGUAG